AACGAACGCUGGCGGCACGCCUAACACAUGCAAGUCGAACGGUAACAGGGACUUCGGUCCGCUGACGAGUGGCGAACGGGUGAGUAACACGUGGAGACCUGCCCUAGGGUACGGGACAACAGUUAGAAAUGACUGCUAAUACCGUAUACGUCCUACGGGAGAAAGAUUUAUUGCCCUUGGAGGGGUCCGCGUCGGAUUAGCUAGUUGGUAAGGUAACGGCUUACCAAGGCGACGAUCCGUAGCUGUUCUUAGAGGAAGAUCAGCCACACUGGGACUGAGACACGGCCCAG
rnacentral:rRNA from 1 species